CGCAAUCCUUCCCCGGUCCCGACCCCUGCGCCCGCUGCAUCGGUCUCCAGCCUUUGCGAGAAGCGCCUCGGACACGGGAGAAACGAGGAGGUCCCGGCAGACAUUUCGGGUUUCGCAAGGAGCGCGGUUUCCUGACAGACGAGCGCGCAGGGAGCAGGCAGUGGGGGGAAAUCCUGCCGCCGCCCCACGGCGCCCGGGCGGCCCGGCUCGGCGGACGGGCAUGGAUGCACUAAUGGACGGAUGGAGGAUGAGCGCUGCCAGCGAGCAGGUGAGACCUGCCUAUCCCUUGCCUUCACUGAAAAUCUGGGACUUUGCUGUUUGUGCCGGUUAAACCUCUAUUCCUGUACCUCACACUAGCUUAAAAGAUAAAAAAUAAAAUUCUGUUCAUCACUGAAUAACCUCUUUCACCUUCUUUCCAGCAGUGAUGUCAGCAAUAAUUAGGUAGAUACGGGCUCUGGUACUACAAAAUCCAUAAUGAAGGGCAAAUAAUCUGAAUGGGAACAGAAUUGAGCCCACAAUCCCAGAUUCUCUUUUAAACAUCAGCCUAAACAUGAAAUUUUUGAAGUGGAAAAGCUCACCAUAAUUCAUCAUUAUAUGAAAAUAUACCAGUUUUGAAAGUAAAAAAUUUAUAACUCAAUGGAUACAAUUACUGCUAAAUUCAAUAAAGAGAAAUUAUCAUGACUGAUGCUUAUUCACUUAAAUGGAUUGUUUAUCGUUUGUACAAAAGGCCAAGUGUGCCAGAUACUUGCAACAGCUCUUAAUACAUAAUUCACACUGCAACAGUGCAUUUUCUGCACUUAGGGUAGAGUAAAUACAUGUCUAGAUGUUAAUUUGCCUUCACCAAAUCCCUUUUAGAACUGUAGUUUUGGUCAACUUAGCUUCUUAGAAAAUGAGUUCGGCUCCUCCUAGAUACACUAUAGAAUUCAAGCAGCCUUGUAAUAAAAAUCAUAAAGACGUUCAUACAUCCAAACCAUGUCUUUUAAUUGUGUUUGACUUGACUUAUGCUGAUUCUCUGUACCACUCCUUGAAAACAAAAAUAUUUACAUUAUUCUAUGGUCUGUGAUAUGAGGGGUAGGAAAAACGACCGGGGAUCAAGCUACUGCUACAGAACAGGCCUUUUAUUGUCAAAGGGGAUCUAUGUCCUUUGGAGCAGAGCUGAUGCUGAGCUAGCAUAACCCUCGAUUCUGAGUGUCAGUCCAUGGAAGAUGAUUGUACACAUGAGGCUGUAUAGUAUGGAAAUGUCAACAGAAACUCAGCACUCUUCUGCAGGCUAACAAAAAGGUGGGAUGGAAAGAGAGGAAUAACCCUGAAAUGCACAUGUGGCAAUAACAGCAUGAGAAUGGAACAGAGGUGCAUGAAAGUCAUGGUUCAGGCUCCUGCUAGACUGGCCCAUCAGCCCGAAACCAUACCUGGGCACUUCACCAUAUCCUCCUGCCUUGGAAUGAGCCUUGGGCACACAGACAGCUCCACAGCUCUCUUCUGAAAUAAAUCCCCCCUGUAACACAACCCGGAAUGUGUUCAUUGACUUGAAUUUCACCUGCAUUUUCACCAAGUUGAGACCUUGUAAUGACAGAGCUAAGACCCCAAAAGCUCUGAAAAUGUUUAAUGAAAUACUGCAUGCAGUUAAAAGUGAAUAAUAACCAACAUCUCCAUAUUUGGUGUACAUGCAAAAAACAGCAGAAACUCAAUCCUGACGGCAUUUUCCCGAGAUGUUAAUAGCAUCACAAAGAGGGAGAUAUCAGCUUAGGGACAGGAAGGACAAUAGGUAGGGUGAAAUGUAUGAGGUGGCACAUAGCUCAAGAGAAAAGGAGACAUCAAAGGUCUUCUUUUUCAAGACAAGAUAGGAAUGGAUGAACUGUUGAUACUUUAGUGAGAUUAUACAUAUGAAUGCAGUUGCUUGGCAGUUUAGGCAUCUCACUAAUGUAAUUGUCUUUGCUUUGUUAAGCUGCAUGGAUGCUGUCCUUCCAAUACAUUUCUCAGGAGUCAACUUUCCACUUGGGCUUGGAAAAAUGAUGAUAAAUGAACAUGCAAAGUUCAAAGGGCAGUUUAGCAAAUCACCAAAGUAAGAGCACAUGUUUAACAUGCUGUUCUAAGGCCUUCCACGCUCCUACCUUUGCCAGACAGAUGCACUGUUUCAUAUUAAAAUAAUUAUCCAGGACAUUUAUGAACAAGUUUGGGAAAACUAAGAUCUCUUCUGUUACCAUAUAAGGGAAAUGAAUACUGCUCAAGGUAGGCGGCAACAAAAAUGCCUACCUGCCUCCCUGGGGUGGUCAAUGACACAUGAAGUCCCAGAACAACCCAGAACUUGUCUAACCAAAAUUUGAAGUUCAAACUUCAAACUGUAAUAAAAUAAAAAUUAAAUACUGAACACAAUCACCAACAGCAUUUUCUCUAUGCAGAGAGCUCACACUUUAAACACUACAUGUCAGUCUAUGUUCCUGUAUACUCUGUGUUAAAAGGGUGUGAAGUCCUACGGGAAUACAAGAAUAUCCUGAGUUCUUACCAUCAAAUGUCAACUUGCCCCCUUUCCAAACUAUAUGCAUCUAUAUUUUUCCUAGAAAUCAACAGUAUCUCUGAAGUCCUACAAUAAUUUUAAAAAGAAAACCCUACAGCAAUGCAAACAUAACAUUCACCCACACCAGGUCUACAAAGAUCUGACACAGAGAAUGCCUUAGGACAGCAAAGAGACAGCACCAACUGAACUUCUACCCCAACAGAGGAAAUCAAACCAAACCAAAGCAAAGAUCUAACUGCUUUUCUUUUUCUUUUUUUUUUUUUUUUUUGAGGGCAGGGGAAAGAGAAACAGGCAGUGAAAUAUGGAAUGGUAGGCGGGGCAAUUUCAUUUGGGAUGGGCAUUUUGUCCCAAAAAUAACCCUAGAGGUGGGACUGAAAAUAACCUGGUAAUAUCUAAGCCUACACAAUGUUACAUGCAGAGAACAAAUGUUGCUCUUUAGCAGCAAAUUACGUGAUGUAGAACAAAAUGCUUGAUACCACAGCUGUAUGUAUGAUUACUUAGCUUCUUGCUUUUAGAAGAGGAAACAAAACUGCAUAGGUCUGUUUUGAGUAUUGACUUUUAAUAGCUUGUUUCUCAUAAGGGAACAGGGGAUGUUUUCUGCUUUAGAAAUACAGGUAUCAGUUGACCUUUAAAUACAGCCUGCUCCUGCCAACAGGUCAUGUACAUGAUUUAUUUGGCUUCAGCUUUUGUUUUUAUGCAUUAAGCAACUUUCAACCUUCUUCUGUCAUACAAUAUAUAGACAAAUUUAAGUACAGUAAUAGUGUGGGUAUUUUACCAUCUUCACAUUUUCUUGACAUACUGGACAAAGUGAUACACAUCAGUCUGUCCCCAAGCCCCAGUUUCAGACAAAGCUUGUUGAAUACUGCUUUCAGUGGCACAUUCAACUUGCUCCCAUAUUUAACUUGCUAAAUCUACAGAAACAGAUCCUUUGGGAAUAUCAGGAAUUAUUUCCAGCUUUGUCCAGUGACAUUCAAAUGCUCGGGCCAACUACUGGUAAUUUUAUGGUUACUGUCAUUUUAUGGUUACUACAGAUGUUGCACAGACAGGAAAAAGUUUUAGAACUGGACAAGCUAUAGUAAUCUAGAUUUUGGUAGAGGAAUUACAUACAAAAACAGGGACUUUAUAUAUAUAGUUUUCAAUCUGUAGUUUCAUUUUUCAAAAUAAAACCUGUAUAUAUAUAUGGAUAAUAUUCAAGAUCUGUAUAACAGUUGCUUUCUGGCUAAAACAAAGUAUUUAGACAGAAUCUCACUUUCUGUUUUUCAGUUCAAAUAUACUAGCCAGUCCAGUCCUUUGGGAGAAGAAACUUCCAUUUUUAAAUCCUUUAGGAUGCAUCAGAUUCAUUAUAUGCUAAUGACCUUAACUUAUACAAUAUAUUAUAUUAUGAAGUGAACGGAAGGGGUUUAGGUAUCGGAAGUAUCAGUCUGGGUGCAGUAAGCCAAACAGCCAUUUAAACAUGAUACUACAGCUGAAAUAAGUCUCUGUCAGAACAAAAACCAACAUUCAUAAAAACAGCAGCAGCCAUCAAUAACAUUCACAACUGCAGGGAUUUUUUUACUGUGUGUGAUUUUGCAUUAUAAGUAGAAGCCACAAUAGUUUAAAGCAAAAUUUAAAAAAAUAUUACUAUAGUCUUGAAUUUAAUAAUGUGAAUUGUCACUCAUAGCUGUUUAUAGAAGUGUACUAAAAAAAUUUACUUAAACAUAUGAAUUUAAGACUUUCACUUUAUUCAGCAAAUUGGUUUAUUUACACAGUGGGGAACGCUGGUUGAAUGCUGUCAAUGUAAUAAAAACAAAUCUAACAGAGACAAUACUGAACUCUCUCUAUGUAUUCAUAGCAGAAAUGACAAACUAUUUCCUUACCUGUAUCAGGAACAUCAAGCGCAACAAUGGGACAGUAUCAUAGGACACUGAUUUAACAAUAAACCACAGAGGUCCAGUAAUACUAUGGCAAUUUACUCAUGUAUUUACUGACUUUAAAAUAAAAAUAUUAAAAGUCAGCAAUACCCAGUAAAAAGUUCUGUCAAUUAUCAGAGUCAAACUCUGAUGAGUAGGUCAGUAAAACCUUAUCAGAUCAUCCACAGUUCAUAAAGUGACAUGAGUUGCUUCGGACCACCAAUACAGAAACAAAAUUGAUGAAAAUAGAUUAUCCUCUAAAAGGCAACGAUGAUCUGAUAAGGGUUUAACUUAAUGGAAGUUAAAAAAAAUAAGAAUUGCAGAGCACAGCCCCUAUUAGAACAAGCUAACUUUCCAACUUUCAAAAUAGACAAAAAAAAAUUUGAGAGAAAGAAAAAAAAAACAAAAAA